UAGAAACAUACAUAUUCAAUUAUUUUAUUAGGCCUUAUUUAAAGAGAAAAGCUUUUUAUAAUCAAAUGUAUUGUGUAUUUUGACAUCUGAAACAAUAGCUUAUUAAUAAAAACUAAUCAGACUUAACAGUGGAAUCUUUAGAGGAGAUAUGAUUCUUUCUCAUCCCAAAAUAGGUUUAAAUUAGCUUUUCAAAAGAGUCAGCUAAUUUCCUGGAUGUAAGGAAGAGUAAGAGGUUCUCAUAAUUGAAAAGCAACCUGCUUUUCUCUUUUGUACAGAAAAACAAGCUCAGGAACACAAAAUUGAAUUAUUCAUAAUUUGAUCUUAGAUUCCUUAUACUACAUAAUCAUCAUUAUCGGUCCAUACUUGUCCUUCUCUUUUACUUUUUCACUUUUAGUUUAAAUAGAAUAAAUAAAUACCUAUGUACCCACUAUGCUAACCAAGAACUAGGAUAUUACUGACCGGCAAACCUCAUGCACCUCCCCAGCCGUCUCAGGACCACCUGGUCUCAGGCCUCUGCCCACACCUGCCCAGCUCACCUGGGCACCCGGUUCCCUGCCCAGGGCUGAUCCAGGAGUGGGGUAUCCCCUUGACCAUCACCACCAUGUAGCCCAGCCAACCACCUGCACAUCCAGGUUUCUAGUUCUUCUUUAAUGGACUCAGGUGAAAGACCACACUGCGUGGCAUAGGCUCUGGCAUCCUGAGCAGCCACGAAACAGGCUAGGUGACACAACACAAAAGUAUAAGGACUUUAGCUUUCACAGGCAGACCCUGACCAAUGGGAGACUAGAACUGGAAGGCACUGGAAGAUAAAUUCCCUCUUCAUUCUCCCUCCUUAGAGCUUUCCAGAGAAGCCCCACUGAACAGGACACAAUCCCUAGUGACCCACUGUGCCUCUUCAUGACUCAUCCUGAAGUGGUAGCCGAUAACGCUGUACAUCACUUUGUGUAUAGUCUGCUCAGACAGCCAUAACAAAGUACCACAUACUGGGUUUAAAUAGCAGAAAGUUACUUUCUCACAUCCCUGGGCUCCAGAAGUCUGCUAUCAAGGUCUCAGUAGAGUUGUUUUUUUCCAAGGACUUUCUCCUUGGCUGGUAGAGGGGCAUCUUCUUCCUGUGUCAUCACAUGGUCCUUCCUCUAUCCACACACGUCUGUGUCCAAAUUUCCUCUUAUAAGGACACUCAUCAUACUAAAUUAGAGCCCAUCCUAAAGACCUCAUUACUUCUUUAAAGACCUUAUCUCCAAACAGGGUUGCAUUCUGAGGGCCAGGGAUUUAGGACUUCAACACUCAACACAUAAAUGGGAGCGGGGUCGGGAGGGGGUGUGGUAGGUGGGGGGAGGCACUGUUUAACCCAUAAUGUUUUGUACUGUUUCUUUUUUAAAAAAAGAUUUUAUUUAUUCAUGAGAGACAUAGAGAGAGAGGCAGAGACACAGGCAGAGGGAGAAGUGGGCUCCCUGCAAGGAGCCCAAUUCAGGACUCGAUCCCAGACCCCAGAAUCACGCCCUGAACCAAAGAGCAGAUGCUCAACAGCUGAGGCACCACCCAGGCGUCCCCAUUUUGUAUUGUUUCAUUUCCCUUUUUUCCUCACUCUCGUUGUCUUGGAUCUUUACUUUGCAUAUAAAGCAUCAGUACUUUAAUCCUUGACUCCAGUGAGAACUGGGCCCAUUCACACAACAAUCCACUGCAUUCCCCCACCUGUGGGUGCUUUCCUUUCUCAGGCUCUUAUCACCCCAGCAGAGGUAACAUCCUGAGCCUGGUGUUUAUCACUCACUUUCUUUUCACUUUUCAUUUAGAUGUUAUGUCUAAAUAAUAUUUUCUUCAGUGUUACCUCUUUUAGAAUGUUUUAGAGAGUGUUAUCCUAUAUGUUGAAUUCUGACACUUCCACUUAACAUUAUGUUGAUAGAAUUCAUCUUUGAUGUGAAGAGCUACAAUUCAUUCGUUUUCAUUUGCUGCAGACUAUGCCAUUGUAAGAAUAAACCACAGUGUAAACAUUAUUGCUUGGAUGGGCAUCAGGUUGUACUGUGCAACAAAAGCAAAUGGCCAAACAGCACAAAAAAGCCCCUCAAGACCAUUUUUGGGGGACACUCAGAAAAGCACAGAGUACAGGUCCCAUAUUAUCAAUUUCAUCUAGGGCAUAGACAGAAGUCUAACAGAGCCCAGCCUCAGAGCCUAGGAGAGAGCCCCUAAAUCUCCCAGGAUUUUUAAGGUGCAUGAUGAAAGAAGCCAUAAGCCCUCCCAUGGUGUGAUCAGAGUUGUGUUUGCAGCUGACAUAUUGCCAGCUAGCAGCAGGAUUGACCUCAUUAGCACUCAUGGUGAGGAACAACUGGCUAGCUCCUCCUUCCGCUGUAGCACCAGGAAAAUAGGAUCUAAGCCUUGCAUUGGAUCAGAUUUAUUGCCCUAAAUAAUGGAUCAUAGCCAAUUUCCAUGGAACUAUAUAGGAGUUCAAUUCUUUGGGAUACCAGCUUCCUGAGGAUCAGUCUUUGACAUAUUAGUAUUUACUGCUCAGGUAGUUACUAUUUUGUUCUCCAGAAUACAUACCCAGGCAUGAAAUUCCUGGGGCUAUGAUAUAUGAAUGUUAAAUACUAAUUCAACUUCUCAUCAGCAAUGCAUAUGAGGUCCCACUGAUCCUCCUAGUAUAUUUUCCUGGUAUUUUCUAGUUACUUCAUCUUUACCAAUCCAUUAGGUAUAGAAGAGUAGCUCCCUGUAGUUUUGAUUUAGAUUUCUCUGAUGACUACUGAGUAUCUUUUCAUGUGUAUAUGGGCCAUUUGCAUUCUCUUUUGUGAAAUGUUUUUUGCUCAUUUUUGUAUGGAUUUGUCAUUCUCUAACCAAUGUGUGAGAAGUAUUUACAUAUUCUUAAUGCUAAUCCCUAGAAUUUAUCCUUUCCCAAUUGGUAGGCUUCUUAUUUCUGUACAGUAUCUUUUGAUAAACAGAAGUUCUUUGGGGGCCUAGUCAGUUAAGCCUCUGACUCUUGACAUCAGCUCAGGUCAUGAUCAGGGUGGUGAAAUUGAGCCCUGCAUCAGAUCAGGUUCCUUGCUGGGCAUGGAGCCUACUUAAGAUUCUCCCUCUCCCUCGGCCCCUCCCUACCCUCAACACUUAGGCAUAUGUGCGAGCUCUCGCUCUAAAACAAAACAAAAACAAAACAGAAGUUCUUCACUUUGAUGUAGUUGAAUCUAUCAACACUUUCUUUUAUAGUUGACCCUUUUGUUGUCUUGAAUAAGAGAUCCUUCCCCAACUCAAAGCCAUGAAAAUAUAUAAUCUCCAAAGUGGUGCAUGGGCCAAGAAAUAAAUCAUAAUGGAAAUUAAAAAUUAGAUGGAGCUGAAUAAUGAAAAUACGACAUACCAAAUCUUGUAAAAUAAAAGUAAUGUUUCAAGGGAAACUUAUAGUCUUAAAUAUUAGUAUUUUAGAAGCUGUAUAUUAAUGAGCUAAGUAGCCAACUUAUGAAACAUGGUGGAAACCACUAGUCCUCACUAAUAUCCCUUUCCCUUCUGCCCUUGGUGCCAUGAUCAUCGUUUCUAGGCUGAGUUGUUUAUGAGGCUUCACUUUCACAUGGCCCAUACUCCAAUCUACCAGAUGGAUAAUGCAGGGUGAGCUCCAAGUUAGAGAAACCAUAAAACAGGAGUAGCCUGGGUGGCUGAGUCCCUGGCUGGAGGAGGGCUCUCCUGGAGAGUUGCCCAAUCCAGAGCAUCCACAGUGGACUGUGCACAAAGAGCAUGUAAACUCUUCAUGUGUUGAGUCACUGCAAUAUGUAUGUUGUUUCAGCAUGAACCUAAAAUAAGAAGUUAAAAAACAAACCAAACCAGAAUAAACCCAAAGGAAACAGAAUGAAGGAGAAGGUACAAGGGCAGAAAUUGCUGAAAUGGAAAACAAAGAAGCAGUACAGUCUCAACAACAGGACAGCUGUUCUUCCCUGAACUCUGGAAAAGCCAUCAGAUAACAGCUCUUACUCUCCUUGCCAAGAGUGUUUUCAUCUCCCCACACUGCUCACAAGAAGCACUCAUUGAGACCCUAUGUACUGAAGUUGUAUGGGCUUAUUUCUCCAAGUGCCAAACAAAUGUGCUGUAUUUUCUCCCAUCACAGCUGCAUGAGGAAAACACCAAGGCGAGAGCGCAGAGAAAGAGGCCAAAAGUCAGAGAGUAAAGGUAAAGAGGGCAAAAGGAAGAAAGGCCUGAAGAGCAGAGGGCAGGGUUUCCUGGGGCGCUCAGGACAAGUGCUCCCCAUGCAAGGGAUGACAGAAGCAGAGUAUUGUCAUUUGUAUGAGCCAAGUAUUUUCCAUUGCCAAGAAUAGAAUCCAAUCCCAUUUCCCAUAUAAUAAGUGUACCCCAUGUUUACAGUUAAUUCUACAAGAGUGCUUUUGAUAAAAAUGCCCAGAUGCACACAUCAGGGAAAAACAACCAUAAAUAGGUCCGGUAAUCCUCAUCAUUAACUGUGAUUUGCAAAGGAAGGUUUUUGUUUUUUUUUUAAUUUAACCAUCUGAUAUUUAUUCCUUUAAAUCUUUUUUUAUUCCUUUGUUUAACUGCAUCAUAGUUGAACACCUCCUGCUACUCAUCAUCUUUUCAGAGUGUGGAUUCCCGGAGGGAGCACGAUCCCUGCUUGUUUCCAUAAGUCAGCAGAGCACAACCCCACAAACUCAGGCGAGCCCAGUGUGGCAAUAAGCAAAGGAUGACGUUAUUGUAAAACUGGACUUCAACAAUCUCACAUGAUUGCAACAGUAUUGUUUCUUGUCUCUAAGCCACAGCGAUAAUAUUCUCAGUACUGCUGUCACUCACCCCCUUGGGAUGAAGGCUCUUGGAAAUAUAUACUGUCUACUCAACAGUCUUCAUAUUUACUCACUUGGCUUUCUUGGGCCCAAAUUACUCUCCUUCAAGAAAACACCAUAAAACUGGAACGGUCCUCUGUCUUGCCUAAAUUUAUGAGAGUGUUCUCUUGCCCCUUACUCUCCAUCUGCCUAAUUCGAAACUGCCCAUAUAAGUCUUAUAUGAGUCCUCUGUAGACUUCUGAAACAGCUUACGUUCUCAGCAGUUACUGUAAUCUUGUAACUAAAGAAGCUGUUGUUGACAGCCAGGGUGUAUUCUUCCUUUAAAUAUGCUUGAGUUCUGACACCUGGUAUAAUGUUUUUCUUUAGAAAGAGAGCCAAUGUAAUGAAAUUCUAUAUGCAGUAGUCUGCAAAAAAAAAAAAAAAAAAAAAAA
rnacentral:lncRNA from 1 species